AUGCUAAAAAGUUUUGAUACAAAUGAUGUUUAUAAAAACAACUUGUGUACACAACUCUCACUGACUCUGUCCAGCUCAGUGUCUCGAGGGAAUGUGUCCACUCCCCCACGCCAGCAGCACUCCGACAGGCAGCAAGUAUGACGAGGAGGAGGUGGAUUAUGAGGAAUCGGACAGUGAUGAGUCCUGGACCACAGAGAGUGCCAUCAGCUUCGAAGCCAUCCUCAGCUCCAUGUGCAUGAAUGGAGGGGAAGAGAAGCCUUUUGCCUGCCCAGUUCCUGGAUGUAAAAAGAGAUACAAGAAUGUGAAUGGCAUAAAGUAUCACGCUAAGAAUGGUCACAGAACACAGAUUCGUGUCCGCAAACCAUUCAAAUGUCGCUGUGGGAAGAGUUACAAGACAGCUCAGGGCCUGCGGCACCACACAAUCAAUUUCCAUCCCCCGGUGUCGGCUGAGAUCAUCAGGAAGAUGCAGCAAUAACAUGCUGGUCAUAACUGUGCCAAGAAAUCCUCACCAGCAGUUGCUGAUUUUGAAAACAGCCACCUUUUUUCAGGGGAAGCAUUCAGCAACCCUUUAAAGAAAAAGAAUUAAAUGCAUGCUUUAAAUUUUUUCUGUAAUUUUGGAAUGAUGUAUCUUUGUAGAGUUAAUGAUUUUGUACAUUUGCACAUGUAAUCAUCAUACCCAUUUUCAUUACUUUGAUAUAAGGUGCUAAACAAAACAAGCUCUAGGUUCUUCAGCACAUUUCCCCCAAAACAAAAUAAAAUUGAGGGCAUGUUGCA